AUAUACUGACAGUAUGACAAUAUAGUGGUUUCUGUGACAUGAGAAAUACUUUUGAAUGAGUACGUAGUUCCGCUCACAGUUGAGUAGGCGGUCCAUAAUGUGGCCCAGG